UAUAUUGUCCACAUGAGCAAAUAAAGAAUUCUUACAGAAGCACAUUACAUGAGCCAAAUUAUGAAGAAAACAUGGCACGUGUUUAUUAUUAGGAUUAUCAUCCAUGGGAUUAAAGAAUUUAGUCCUCACGCAAUAUCAAGAUUUACCUGGAAAGAUUAAAUACUAAUAAGUGAACAUAUAUAAAUCAUUGUGCCCAUUUUGCUAUUCUUGGAUAGCUAUAAGGUUUGCAUCAAUUUGUGAGGUUAUCGUGCAUGAUCGGGGCGAAGUGCAGUGACAAGUUCAAUUAACUUCCUGCAGAAGUAUGACAAUAGCCUCAUGAGUGACAACGGAUACACCUCAGAGAGUGGACCUGAAAGGUAAGGCAAAACAUACAGCAUCAUCAGCAGCUCGCCGAGGGAGGCAAGAUCCAGUGGCAGCACCAGCGUAGAAGAACAAUAGUCAGAUCAUGACAAGGCCACCCAAACAUGCCACACAAAGUAACAAACAACCUCAUAUACUUCAAUUAUUUUCCCUUUCUAUAGAAAAUCACUCUGCAUUUUUCAUAGAUGUUGGGAAAGAACUAUACAACAAACAAAGGAGGCAAUAGUCAGAUUAGAGAUUCCUGGCAUAUGAAUAUAUAAAGCAACAAAAAAUUCGUUUGUUAACUAUCGAUU
rnacentral:lncRNA from 1 species